GCCAACGUAUGCAAACGGUUAUAAGCAAGCUGUCUUGAAAACAGAUGAGCCGAAAGGUCUGUGGGUUCGAAUCCUACCGUUGGCG
rfam:Lachnospiraceae bacterium A2 genomic scaffold acPFL-supercont1.6, whole genome shotgun sequence.